rnacentral:misc_RNA from 1 species
GAACGCACCUUGCGCUCUCUGGUAUUCCGGAGAGCAUGCCUGUUUGAGUGUCAUGAACUCUUCAACCCACCGGUUCCUUGUUGAAUCGAGUUGGUGUUUGGAUUUUGAGCGUUUUGCAAUUUAACUAUUGCUCGUUCGUAAUACAUUAGCAUCUCAAUUUCGAAACUCGGAUUGACUCAGCGUAAUAGACUAUUCGUUGAGGACACCUUAGCAAUAGGGUGGCCGAAUUAGAUAAAAGUGGAAGCUUCCAAUCCCUCUAGUCAAAUUUUAGAUUAGACCUCAGAUCAGGCAGGAUUACCCGCUGAACUUAAG